GGCAAUUUUGGAUAAGACAACAAACAAAUGCAAAGGUUAUGGUUUUGUCGACUUUGACAGCCCUGCAGCAGCUCAAAAAGCUGUGUCUGCCCUGAAGGCCAGUGGGGUUCAAGCUCAAAUGGCAAAGCAACAGGAACAAGAUCCUACCAACCUCUACAUUUCUAAUUUGCCACUCUCCAUGGAUGAGCAAGAACUAGAAAAUAUGCUCAAACCAUUUGGACAAGUUAUUUCUACAAGGAUACUACGUGAUUCCAGUGGUACAAGUCGUGGUGUUGGCUUUGCUAGAUUUUUUUUUUUUUUUUGUAAGAAAUAAAACCUAGGCCAGGCAUGGUGGCUCAUGCCUGUAAUCCCAGCAUUUUGGGAGGCCAGGCGGGCAGAGUUCGAAACCUACCUGGCCAGCGUGGCGAAACCCUGUCUCUACUAAAAAUACAAAAAUUAACUGGGCCUGGUGGCAGGUACCUGUAAUCCCAGCUGCUUGGGAGGCUGAGACAUGAAAAUCACUUGAACCUGGGGGAUGGAGGUUGCGGUGAGCCGAGAUCACGCCACUGCACUCCAGCCUGGGCAACAGAGCGAGACUGUCUUAAAAUAAAUAAAUAAAUAAAUAAAA
rnacentral:sRNA from 1 species